ACACAGGACUGAGGUCUCUGGGAAGGCAGAGCUGUGGUCAAGAAGAAGAUGAGGCUGCUGGGUCUUUUCCUCUGCCUGCUGACAGCCCCCCAAGGUGUCCUGUCCCAGGUGCAGCUGCAGGAGUCGGGCCCAGGACUGGUGAAGCCCUCGCAGACCCUCUCCCUCACCUGCACUGUCUCUGGAUUCUCUCUGACGAGCUACAAUGUACACUGGAUCCGCCAGGCUCCAGGAAAGGGGCUGGAGUGGGUCGGGGCUGUGUGGAGUGGUGGAAGUACAGACUACAACCCAACACUGAAAUCCCGCCUCAGCAUCACCAGGGACACGUCCAAGAGCCAAGUUUACUUAACACUGAACAGCCUGAGAGCCGAGGACACGGCCGUGUAUUACUGUGCAAGAGACACAGUGAGGGGAACCCCAGAGGAGGGGGUAGCACUGCUGCUGGCAGAGGACAUGUGCGCAGUGAUGGGGACUCUCCUCACCACCUGUCUGUAUUUCCUGCUUCUCUUUCUCCGCAGAGACCAUCCUCAGUGCUCUCAUCGGCCUGUGGUUGGAAACUUUCCCACCACGAGAGACCCCAGCACAGCCCAGGCCCCUGAGUGCUGA